CUCACCUCCACAGCGGGGCUUCUGUUAUUCCCCUGGCACGGAACAUAGAACCAAUUUGCUCCUUCAUAGAAGAAUGUGUUGUCUAAAAACAAAAAUCAUCCGGAAUUUACUAGGGGAUCUGUCGAAAAAGAAAAAUGUUACUGUGAAAGAAAACCAAAUAAAUAUGUUAAUAUGUU